rnacentral:lncRNA from 1 species
AUUAUAAUACAUAGUUAGUUAUGUGCCAUCGAUAGUCAACAAAUUUUCUGAUAAAUCCCCAUUUUAGUUUUACUUCAAACUUAAUUUAGUUUAGGUGAAAGAAAAAGAAAAAGUUUCUAGUCAUACCCAAAUUAAAACCCCAAACCCAAAUAUAAGCCCACUUCAAUCCAAAAUUAACCCUAACUCAGCCUAGCUCUGGAUUUUUCCAAGUCAAG